rnacentral:rRNA from 1 species
UACGUAGGGCGCGAGCGUUGUCCGGAUUUAUUGGGCGUAAAGAGCGUGUAGGCGGCCAUGCAGGUCAGCUGUGAAAACUCGAGGCUCAACCUCGAGACGUCGGUUGAAACCGUAUGGCUAGAGUCCGGAAGAGGAGAGUGGAAUUCCCGGUGUAGCGGUGAAAUGCGCAGAUAUCGGGAAGAACACCCAUGGCGAAGGCGGCUCUCUGGGACGGUACUGACGCUGAGACGCGAAAGCGUGGGGAGCAAACAGG